rnacentral:rRNA from 1 species
UACGUAGGGUGCAAGCGUUGUCCGGAAUUAUUGGGCGUAAAGAGCUCGUAGGCGGUCUGUCGCGUCGGAUGUGAAAAUCCAGGGCUCAACCCUGGACCUGCAUUCGAUACGGGCAGACUAGAGUUCGGUAGGGGAGACUGGAAUUCCUGGUGUAGCGGUGAAAUGCGCAGAUAUCAGGAGGAACACCGGUGGCGAAGGCGGUUCUCUGGGCAUGUCCUGACGCUGAGGGGCGAAAGUGUGGGGAGCGAACAGG